rnacentral:lncRNA from 1 species
GGUAAUAAGUCUCACCGAAGUCAAUAGAAUAAAAAUUUUAGUGGUCCCAAAGGAGUUAUAAAGAAAAAUGAUCAAUGAAAUUUUAGUGGUCCCAAAGGAGUUAUAAAGAAAAAUGAUCAAUGCAAGUUCUGUAAAAAGAAGGGUCACUGGCAGAAAGAUUGUUUUAAGUUCAAGACUUGGUUGGAAAAGAAGAAGAGUUCUCCAAGUAUUCCCUUGGCCUUAGUUUGUUUUGAGUCUUCUUUAGUAG